rnacentral:lncRNA from 10 species
AUAAAAUCUACAGUAGUGUACAAUGAUGUCCUUGGCCUUCACAUUCACUCACCACUCACUGAGUCACCCAGAGCAACUUCAGUCAUACAAGCUCUAUUUAUGAUGGCUAACUAGAGACACUGGACACCAGUUCUCCUCAGAAAGAAGGACCAAAAUUACAUAUAGAUAAUCACAUCUUGAAUAGGCUAUCAAGGAGGGUUUACUAGAACCCAAUAGAGAACUCCUGGGAAAACAACAACAACAAAAAAAAACUGAGGCACAGAAAAGGAAGAAAGCAAGAGGCCAACGUGGCUAGCAUAGAUCAGCUGGGAGUCACAAGGGACUUGGUGUUGUGUGGAAAAGAGUAUAAUAUGGAAAGGGAGGAAGAAAGAUUAGUUUUACAAUGGAGGAACCUAUCAAACUCUGCCUCAGCCAGUUAAUCAAGAUUAACAUCAACAGUGCUGAGUCAAAUUGAAGGUCAUAGACAUUACUUGGGACCAUUACUGGCUACCCGUCUGUUUUGCCCUAGUCUGCCAUUCUCUGCUAACAAUCUACACAACUCAUUGCUGGUGAAGCCCCCUUGACUGUUUCUCCGACCUUGCUGAUGCUCAAGAAACAAGUUUUAAAAAGAAGAAAUGUAUCAAGAAUUCAUUGUACUGAAUUCCAAGCUUGCUCCAAAACUAAAAUAUUCUAGAGGGUCUG